GACGAACGCUGGCGGCGUGCUUAGCACAUGCAAGUCGAACGGAAAGGCCCUGCUUUUGUGGGGUGCUCGAGUGGCGAACGGGUGAGUAACACGUGAGUAACCUGCCCUUGACUUUGGGAUAACUUCAGGAAACUGGGGCUAAUACCGGAUAGGAGCUCCUGCUGCAUGGUGGGGGUUGGAAAGUUUCGGCGGUUGGGGAUGGACUCGCGGCUUAUCAGCUUGUUGGUGGGGUAGUGGCUUACCAAGGCUUUGACGGGUAGCCGGCCUGAGAGGGUGACCGGCCACAUUGGGACUGAGAUACGGCCCAGACUCCUACGGGAGGCAGCAGUGGGGAAUAUUGCACAAUGGGGGGAAGCCUGAUGCAGCAACGCCGCGUGCGGGAUGACGGCCUUCGAGUUGUAAACCGCUUUCGCCUGUGACGAAGCGUGAGUGACGGUAAUGGGUAAAGAAGCACCGGCUAACUACGUG
rnacentral:rRNA from 1 species